GACGAACGCUGGCGGCGUGCUUAACACAUGCAAGUCGAGCGGUAAGGCCCUUUCGGGGGUACGACGAGCGGCGAACGGGUGAGUAACACGUGGGUGACCUGCCCUCAGCUCUGGGAUAAGCCUGGGAAACCGGGUCUAAUACUGGAUAUGACUCCAUGACGCAUGUUGUGGGGUGGAAAGCCUUGUGCGGCUGAGGAUGGGCCCGCGGCCUAUCAGCUUGUUGGUGGGGUGANGGCCUACCAAGGGCGACGACGGGUAGCCGGCCUGAGAGGGCGACCGGCCACACUGGGGACUGAGACACGGCCCAGACUCCUACGGGAGGCAGCAGUGGGGAAUCUUGCGCAAGUGGGCGAAAGCCUGACGCAGCGACGCCGCGUGAGGG
rnacentral:rRNA from 1 species